rnacentral:tRNA from 1 species
UGAGACGACCGUGUCCUCCACGUCCAGGCACGGCAACCACCCGCGGAGGGCGAUUAGCUCAGCUGGUUAGAGCGCUGCCCUGAUAAGGCAGAGGUCUCUGGUUCGAGUCCAGAAUCGCCCACCACUCCCCACCCUGGCGCGGGGACGUACCUCAGCUGGCAGAGCAUCUCCUUUGCAAGGAGAGGGUCAGGAGUUCGAGUCUCCUCGUCUCCACCACCACCCCGAGCACUCGCGCCAUCUCGCACAUUCGAAUAGAUUGGGUUCCAUCCCCGACACGGAUCACCGUCCAUCCACCGGGACCCUGUCCCGUAUCGAGCCCCUGAUCCGUGUCCUUCCCCCUGCGGGCAGGGCACGGACCAGCGGAUCGUUGGGAGACGGAUCGGCUUCGGUCGUUCGUGUCAUGAGGCGCGUCUUCCGACUCGUCUCACCUUAACAGCUGGAAUGUUUCGGCAGAUUGAAUGAAUCUUCGAUUUCGUGCAGUACCCGAUUACAAAUGAUCCCGAUCCGAUCCCAAUCAGCCACUGGCCACUCUGGUCAGAGGCUGGAUCGGGUCAAGCUACCACCGGCAUU